UCCAGUUCCAGAGGCCAGAAGUCCCAAAGCAAGGUGUUGGCAGAGCCACAGUCUCUCUGAAGACUUUAUCAGAAGGUCCUUGCUUCCGCUUCACCUUAUGCCAUGAUUCCAAGUUUCCUGAGGCCUCCCAGUCAUGCUUCCUGUUAAGCCUGUGGAACUGGGCUGUACGAUGAACCAGGUGGUGCAAAAAUAACGAGAGUGAUGCAACAAGUGAAAAGGAAACUAAAUGUGAAUUGUCGAAUUGGAAAUUAAGAAUGGAGCGGGGAUUCGCCUUUGCCCUGGUGCUCGCCUGAGGCGAGUGCAGCUUAUCUUCACAAAGCGGAAGAUUCUUCUGGCUGCCUGGAAGAUGCCUCUGCUAUUUUAAUGAAAACAUUUAGCUCCUCGAAAGGUACAGAGAACCAAGAGGUAAAGUGUGCCAUUGUAGACAGCUGGUGUGUGUGCCGGUAGCAGUGCUUCUGUCUACAUCCUGGGAUAUUUGCUGCAAAAUGCUUGGCUCAGUCACCAAGUGAAUGGCUCUGUCUGCCUCUCCCUUGCGAGUAGUUGAGCUGGCAUUAAAAAGUUCCUGGCUAGUUCUUUUGAAAUUACCUCACCUUUCUGCAGACCUAAAACAUUAGGGAAUAAUCCUCCAAUCAGUUUCAAAUAGGAGAGCUCACAUGUAAGCAGCCUUAUUUAAGUGCCGGGCAUCAUUCUGAGCAAGUUAUGUAAAUUAAACAAUCCUCACCACAGUUUUACGAGGUAGGACUGUGGUUAUCUUAAUUUUACAGAUAAGGAAACGGGGCAAAGCGAGGUCUAUUUCCUUUUCCAGUUAUGACAUCCCAAAACAGCAUUGUGCUCCUUGAGUUCUAGUAGGAACAUUGAAGGUCUGGUUCACCUUUCCCUUCUCACUCUGGACCCCUGGAGGGAAGAAAACUUGGUCUCAUUCCUAGCUCUUAUUUUUCAGUUAUUUCUUAUUUUUAGAAAAUGUACAAUUCUGCCAACUCUUUGCUGUAGCUCUUGCUUUCAAAUGACUUGCACAUCUCUGUCAUUUCUCCCCUUUUCCAAAAUUUUCAAUGUUAUUUGCAUCCUUCCAUCAGUUCUAAAAUGCUGUUUACUUGUGGAUGUCUCUCCAUUUUACGCCCUGUUCUGAGCCUAUGGCUCUUUGCAAAUACAGCACUUGCAGAACACUCAUCAUUCUGUUGGGUAAUCAAUGUUUUGUUUUAUCCCCUCUUUUCCAGAAGAUUAGUGUUUUAAAUCUGAACUUUGUCUCCCCUGUCAUUAGCACAGCAGCCAAUGGUAGAAACUUAAGUAUUGUUUAUUGAAUAAAUAUAUGCUGCAGUAUAUGCUUCAAUGAGCUUGUGACUGUCAAAUAUCAAGGAGUUGUCUUGGCAAUGUUUGCUGAGGGUUCAUUUAAUGAAUUCUCUUGACAAGAAUUUGAGAACCACCUAUCUCAUGAGCACAUUGAUGGGCAAUGUGAA